rnacentral:rRNA from 1 species
UGGGGAAUAUUGCACAAUGGGCGCAAGCCUGAUGCAGCCAUGCCGCGUGUGUGAAGAAGGCCUUCGGGUUGUAAAGCACUUUCAGCGGGGAGGAAGGCGGUGAGGUUAAUAACCUCAUCGAUUGACGUUACCCGCAGAAGAAGCACCGGCUAACUCCGUGCCAGCAGCCGCGGUAAUACGGAGGGUGCAAGCGUUAAUCGGAAUUACUGGGCGUAAAGCGCACGCAGGCGGUCUGUCAAGUCGGAUGUGAAAUCCCCGGGCUCAACCUGGGAACUGCAUUCGAAACUGGCAGGCUAGAGUCUUGUAGAGGGGGGUAGAAUUCCAGGUGUAGCGGUGAAAUGCGUAGGGAUCUGGAGGAAUACCGGUGGCGAAGGCGGCCCCCUGGACAAAGACUGACGCUCAGGUGCGAAAGCGUGGGGAGCAAACAGG